rnacentral:rRNA from 1 species
CCUACGGGCGGCUGCAGUGAGGAAUAUUGGGCAAUGGGCGCAAGCCUGAACCAGCCAUGCCGCGUGAAGGAAGACGGCUCUCGGGUUGUAAACUUCUUUUUUUGCGGACGAAACCCUUGAUGCUACUCAAUAGCUAAGCCACCGCUAACUACGUGCCAGCAGCAGCGGUAAUACGUAGGUGGCAAGCGUUAUCGGGAUUUACUGGGUGUAAAGGGCGCGUAGGCGGAACUGCAAGUUAGAUGUGAAACGCAUGAGCUCAACCCAUGGCCUGCAUUUGAUACUGUAGUUCUUGAGUGAAGGUGAGGCAGGCGGAAUGCAGGGUGUAGCGGUGAAAUGCUUAGAGAUACGAAGGAACACCGAUGGCGAAGGCAGCUUGCUGGACAAUAUCUGACGCUGAGGCGCGAAAGCGUGGGGAGCAAACAGGAUUAGAUACCCCAGUAGUC